CCUACGGGUGGCUGCAGUGGGGAAUAUUGGACAAUGGGGCAACCCUGAUCCAGCCAUGCCGCGUGUGUGAAGAAGGCCCUCGGGUUGUAAAGCACUUUCAGUGAGGAAGAACGCCUGGUGGUUAAUACCCAUCAGGAAAGACAUCACUCACAGAAGAAGCACCGGCUAACUCCGUGCCAGCAGCCGCGGUAAUACGGAGGGUGCGAGCGUUAAUCGGAAUUACUGGGCGUAAAGCGCGCGUAGGUGGCUUGAUAAGCCGGUUGUGAAAGCCCCGGGCUCAACCUGGGAACGGCAUCCGGAACUGUCAAGCUAGAGUGCAGGAGAGGAAGGUAGAAUUCCCGGUGUAGCGGUGAAAUGCGUAGAGAUCGGGAGGAAUACCAGUGGCGAAGGCGGCCUUCUGGACUGACACUGACACUGAGGUGCGAAAGCGUGGGUAGCAAACAGGAUUAGAUACCCGAGUAGUC
rnacentral:rRNA from 1 species